rnacentral:rRNA from 1 species
AACGUAGGAUGCGAGCGUUUUCCGGAAGUAUUGGGCGUAAAGGGCGUGUAGGCGGUUUAGUAAGUUCAGUGUGAAAUCCCUUAACUUAAAUAAGGAAAUGCACUGAAUACUGCUAAGCUAGAGUAUGGGAGAGGGAGGUGGAAUUCCCGGUGUAGAGGUGAAAUUCGUAGAUAUCGGGAAGAACAUCCUUGGCGAAGGCGACCUCCUGGAACAAUACUGACGCUGAGGCGCGAAAGCGUGGGGAGCAAACAGG